rnacentral:lncRNA from 1 species
UCCUCUGGAGGAGCAUAGUAUGUUUCUGGGAAUGGGCUGAUUUGUUUUUGUAUUCCUUUAAUAAGUAUAGUUGCGACUUCUCAUAUGACCAUUAAGUAUGAAGGAAAAAACAUGACUUUCCCAAUUAAUGCAGCUACUUCUAAAGAAUAAAUCUGUUUGCUCUAAAUGCAAUGAUUCAGCUGUGGAAUGUAAAUUGUUAUUGUUUAAUGAACACCCCCCUGUAGGAAAAACAGCCAAGGAAGUUUUUGAGAAAUUAAAUUAAAAUCUAGAAAAGAAGAAUUAAUGUUAAGAAGACAGAUUAGCGCUUAGUACUGGGCAACUUGUUCUUGUUCCUGUGCACAAUGGUUUGUGCUCUUACUCUUGUUUGAUUAAAAUUAGUAGCCUCUCUUUUCAAGUUAACCACUUGCCAUAACCGUGGCGCCGAUUCUAGUCAGUAAGCCAAGAAAGAAUAGUCAAG